rnacentral:rRNA from 1 species
CAGUCGGCCCUAAGGGAUCGGAGAAAUCCGUUCCGAAGCGGGACAUUGUAUGAUAUGCUGCUAUAGCUGAUAUAUAGAUAGCUUGUCCCGCUGCUGACCGAAAGGGAAUGGGGUUAAUAUUCCCCAACCCGGACACGGAGAUAGAGGUCUCUCGCAGACCUCAAAUGCGGUAACGCAAUCGAACUCGGAGACGUCGGCGGAGGACCCGGGGAAGAGUUAUCUUUUCUUUGUAAGGAUUCGUGUCCCUGGAAUCGGAUCAUCCGGAGAUAGGGACGCUGUUUCCGUAAAAGCUCCGCGGCUCUUGCGGAGUCCGGUGCGCCUCUGCCGGCCCUUGAAAAUCCGAGGGAGAGAGUAUGAUUUUCGUGCCGGGCCGUACCC